ensembl:snRNA U6 U6 spliceosomal RNA
CUGCUUUAGAGGAAGAAGCACAUAUACUAAAAUUAGAAUGAUGCAGAGAAGUUUAGCAUGGUCCUUUUGGAAAGAUGGCAUGUAAAUUCAUGAAGUAUUCCAUAUUUUU